rnacentral:rRNA from 1 species
GUGCACCAGGCGCGAAAACUUUACAAUGUGCGAAAGCACGAUAAGGGAACUCUGAGUGCCUCCUAAGGAGGCUGUUCAGGUGUCUAAAAAGCACCUGGAGUAAGGGCUGGGUAAGACCGGUGCCAGCCGCCGCGGUAACACCGGCAGCCCAGGUGGUAGCCACUUUUAUUGGGUCUAAAGCGUCCGUAGCCGGUUGAGUAAGUUCCUUGGGAAAUUUGGCUGCUCAACAGUCAAGCUUCCAGGGAAUACUGCUCGACUUGGGACUGGGAGAGGUCAGAGGUACUCCAGGGGUAGGGGUGAAAUCCAUUAAUCCCUGGGGGACCACCGGUAGCGAAGGCGUCUGACCAGACCAGGUCCGACGGUGAGGGACGAAGGCUAGGGGCGCGAACCGGAUUAGAUACCCGUGUAGU